rnacentral:rRNA from 1 species
UGGCGGACGGGUGAGUAAUGUCUGGGAAACUGCCUGAUGGAGGGGGGUAACUACUGGAAACGGUAGCUAAUACCGCAUAACGUCGCAAGACCAAAGAGGGGGACCUUCGGGCCUCUUGCCAUCGGAUGUGCCCAGAUGGGAUUAGCUAGUAGGUGGGGUAACGGCUCACCUAGGCGACGAUCCCUAGCUGGUCUGAGAGGAUGACCAGCCACACUGGAACUGAGACACGGCCCAG